rnacentral:rRNA from 1 species
AGCUCCAAUAGCGUAUAUUAAAGUUGUUGCAGUUAAAAAGCUCGUAGUUGAACUUCAGAUCCGGCUGGGCGGUCUGCCUAACGGUAUGUACUGUCCGGCUGGGUCUUACCUCUUGGUGAGCCGGCAUGCCCUUUACUGGGUGUGUCGGGGAACCAGGACUUUUACCUUGAGAAAAUUAGAGUGUUCAAAGCAGGCCUAUGCCCGAAUACAUUAGCAUGGAAUAAUAAAAUAGGACGUGCGGUUCUAUUUUGUUGGUUUCUAGAGUCGCCGUAAUGAUUAAUAGGGAUAGUUGGGGGCAUUAGUAUUCAGUUGCUAGAGGUGAAAUUCUUGGAUUUACUGAAGACUAACUACUGCGAAAGCAUUUGCCAAGGAUGUUUUCA